rnacentral:rRNA from 1 species
UUUUGGCCUCAAAUCAGGUAGACCGCCAUU